rnacentral:piRNA from 1 species
UACAUUGUUAAUUGUUAAGGCAGGAACUA